rnacentral:rRNA from 1 species
GAUGAACGCUGACAGAAUGCUUAACACAUGCAAGUCGAUGAGGAAGUGGUGCUUGCACCAUGGUAACCAUGGCGGACGGGUGAGUAACGCGUAAGGAACUUGCCUGCGGGACUGGGAUAACAGCAGGAAACUGCUGAUAAUACCGGAUAAGGUCAUUAAGCUGCAUAGCUUAGUGAUGAAAGGAGACGCCUGCGGAGAGCCUUGCGUCCUAUUAGCUAGUUGGAGGGGUAACGGCCCACCAAGGCGAAGAUAGGUAGCCGGCCUGAGAGGGUGGACGGCCACAAGGGGACUGAGAUACGGCCCUUACUCCUACGGGAGGCAGCAGUGGGGAAUAUUGGACAAUGGGGGCAACCCUGAUCCAGCAAUUCUGUGUGCACGAAGACGGUUUUCGGAUUGUAAAGUGCUUUCAGCAGGGAAGAAGGAAGUGACGGUACCUGCAGAAGAAGCGACGGCUAAAUACGUG